rnacentral:rRNA from 1 species
UGGGGAAUAUUGCACAAUGGGGGAAACCCUGAUGCAGCGACGCCGCGUGAACGAAGAAGGUAUUCGUAUCGUAAAGUUCUGUCCUAUGGGAAGAUAAUGACAGUACCAUAGAAGAAAGCUCCGGCUAAAUACGUGCCAGCAGCCGCGGUAAUACGUAUGGAGCGAGCGAUGUCCGGAAUUAUUGGGCGUAAAGGGUAUGCAGGCGGUUUAAUAAGUCGAAUGUUAAAGAUCGGGGCUCAACCCCGCAAAGCAUUGGAAACUGAUAAACUUGAGUAGUGGAGAGGAAAGUGGAAUUCCUAGUGUAGUGGUGAAAUACGUAGAUAUUAGGAGGAAUACCAGUAGCGAAGGCGACUUUCUGGACACAAACUGACGCUGAGGUACGAAAGCGUGGGGAGCAAACAGG